UACGAAGGGGGGCUAGCGUUGCUCGGAAUGACUGGGCGUAAAGGGCGCGUAGGCGGAUGGUACAGUCAGAUGUGAAAUUCCUGGGCUUAACCUGGGGGCUGCAUUUGAUACGUGUUGUCUAGAGUGAGGAAGAGGGUCGUGGAAUUCCCAGUGUAGAGGUGAAAUUCGUAGAUAUUGGGAAGAACACCGGUGGCGAAGGCGGCGACCUGGUCCUUUACUGACGCUGAGGCGCGAAAGCGUGGGGAGCAAACAGG
rnacentral:rRNA from 1 species